rnacentral:rRNA from 1 species
CCUACGGGGAGGCAGCAGUGAGGAAUAUUGCGCAAUGGGGGAACCCUGACGCAGCAACGCCGCGUGGGUGAAGAAGGCCUUCGGGUCGUAAAGCCCUUUCGGACGGGACGAACGCUCCGCGGUGACAACCCGCGGAGCCUGACGGUACCGUAAGAAGAAGCACCGGCUAACUCCGUGCCAGCAGCCGCGGUAAUACGGAGGGUGCAAGCGUUGUUCGGAAUUACUGGGCGUAAAGCGCGUGUAGGCGGCCUUGCAAGCCAGACGUGAAAGCCCUCGGCUUAACCGGGGAAGUGCGUCUGGAACUGCUCGGCUCGAGUACGGGAGAGGGAGGCGGAAUUCCCAGUGUAGAGGUGAAAUUCGUAGAUAUUGGGAGGAACACCGGUGGCGAAAGCGGCCUCCUGGACCGAUACUGACGCUGAGACGCGAAAGCGUGGGGAGCAAACAGGAUUAGAUACCCUGGUAGUCCACGCUGUAAACGAUGGGCACUAGGUGUGGGGGGUAUCCACUCCUCCCGUGCCGCAGCUAACGCAUUAAGUGCCCCGCCUGGGGAGUACGGCCGCAAGGUUAAAACUCAAAGGAAUUGACGG